AGAGGACGCCUCUUAAACAGGUAUCCACCAAGCUCCCAAGUGGGCUAGCACAUAGUGCAGGCUGAAGAGUGAGCAGGAUGAGUGAGCCCACGUCUUAUCUCUGCAGGAUCCUCUUCUUACACAUUGACUUCAUCAGCAGGCUUCUGGUGAAAGACAGUGAUGGCAAGUGACUGAAAUCCAAGAUGAUGAUCCAUUGGCUUCCCCCAAAUCAAGGAGGGGCCAACUAACCAAGCCACGAGAGGCAUGACACUGCUGCUGGGCCUCACGAAUGGUCUGGAACCAAGGGAUGGGUCGGUGAUAUUCUUCUGGCAGAAAAGGCGGGCAUCAACUUGCACAAGAUAUGGGGAGAUGUGGCCGUGCCUGGUCAGCCUUCCUGAACCACACAUUGGCUGGAUUGCUGUGGGUG
rnacentral:lncRNA from 10 species